rnacentral:lncRNA from 1 species
AAGCUUGAUGACUUCCCAAGAACAAUUUGGUAGAAAAGAGUGCUGAUGAAGAAGAGAGGACAACACAAAAGAAGACACAGAAGCACCAUGGGCAAACCAUGGAACAAGAACUGGAAUGAAUAUCUAUUCCACUACCUGAACUAAAGACUGCAGACGGAGAAAGGGAAGACAGGGGUUUAACUGGCAAUUCAAAGUGAGGUGAUCAGCC